GAUUAACGCUGGCGGCGUGCAUAACACAUGCAAGUCGAACGAUGAAACUUAGUAGACUUCUUCGGAAUGACACUAAGCGAAUUAGUGGCGAACGGGUGAGUAACGCGUGAGUAACCUGCCUUACACAAGGGGAUAGCCUUUGGAAACGAAGAAUAAUACCCUAUAAAACCAUAAAAGCACAUGCUAGAAUGGUCAAAGUGAUAGCGGUGUAAGAUGGACUUGCGUCUGAUUAGCUAGUUGGUGAGAUAAAAGCUCACCAAGGCAACGAUCAGUAGCCGGCUUGAGAGAGUGUACGGCCACAUUGGGACUGAGACACGGCCCAGACUCCUACGGGAGGCAGCAGUGGGGAAUUUUGCACAAUGGGGGAAACCCUGAUGCAGCGACGCCGCGUGAUUUAGAAGGCCUUCGGGUUGUAAAAAUCUUUUGUAUAGGAAGAAAAUGACAGUACUAUACGAAUAAGGUCCGGCUAAUUACGUGCCAGCAGCCGCGGUAAUACGUAAGGACCGAGCGUUGUCCGGAAUCAUUGGGCGUAAGGGUACGUAGGCGGCUAGAAAAGUUAGAAGUCAAAGGCUAUAGCUCAACUAUAGUAAGCUUCUAAAACUAUUUAGCUUGAGAAAUGGAAGGGAAAGUGGAAUUCCUAGUGUAGCGGUGGAAUGCGCAGAUAUUAGGAAGAAUACCGGUGGCGAAGGCGACUUUCUGGCCAUUAUCUGACGCUGAGGUACGAAAGCGUGGGUAGCAAACAGGAUUAGAUACCCUGGUAGUCCACGCCGUAAACGAUGAGUGUUAGGUGUCUGGAGUCAAAUCUGGGUGCCACAGCAAACGCAUUAAACACUCCGCCUGGGGAGUACGCACGCAAGUGUGAAACUCAAAGGAAUUGACGGGGACCCGCACAAGCAGCGGAGCAUGUGGUUUAAUUCGACGCAACGCGAAGAACCUUACCAAGUCUUGACAUAUUACAGAAGCAGUUAGAGAUAAUUGCUUACAUCUUCGGAUGACUGUAAUACAGGUGGUGCAUGGUUGUCGUCAGCUCGUGUCGUGAGAUGUUGGGUUAAGUCCCAUAACGAGCGCAACCCCUAUUGCUAGUUACCAUCAUUAAGUUGGGGACUCUAGUAAUACUGCCGGUGACAAACCGGAGGAAGGUGGGGAUGACGUCAAAUCAUCAUGCCCUUUAUGACUUGGGCUACACACGUGCUACAAUGGCAGGUACACAGGGAAGCAAGACUGCGAAGUUAAGCGAAACUCAAAAAGCCUGUCCCAGUUCGGAUUGCACUCUGCAACUCGAGUGCAUGAAGUUGGAGUUGCUAGUAAUCGUGGAUCAGAAUGCCGCGGUGAAUGCGUUCCCGGGUCU
rnacentral:rRNA from 1 species